rnacentral:rRNA from 1 species
AUUGAACGCUGGCGGCAUGCCUAACACAUGCAAGUCGAGCGAGCGGCGGACGGGUGAGUAAUUUAUGGGGACCUGCCCGACCGACGGGGAUAACUACUGGAAACGGUGGCUACUACUGCAUACUAACGGAUGAACCCACAUGGGAUUAGCUAGUGGGUGGGGUAAAGGCUCACCAAGGCGACGAUCUCUAGCUGGUCUGAGAGGAUGAUGAGCCACACUGGGACUGAGACACGGCCCAGACUCCUACGGGAGGCAGCAGUAGGGAAUAUUGCACAAUGGGCGAAAGCCUGAUGCAGCAAUGCCGCGUGUAUGAAGAAGGCCUUAGGGUUGUAAAGUACUGUUAGCGGAGAGGCGUUACCCGCAGAGGAAGCAACGGCUAACUCCGUGCCAGCAGCCGCGGUAAUUC